UGCGAAGGGUGCAAGCGUUACUCGGAAUUACUGGGCGUAAAGCGUGCGUAGGUGGUUUGUUAAGUCUGUUGUGAAAGCCCCGGGCUCAACCUGGGAAUGGCAAUGGAUACUGGCAGGCUAGAGUGCGGUAGAGGUAGUGGAUUCCGGGUGUAGCGGUGAAAUGCGUAGAGAUCGGGAGGAACACCAGUGGCGAAGGCGGCAUACCUGG
rnacentral:rRNA from 1 species